AAUCCUUACACAAUCAAGAAAAAUAGCAUAAUGAUUUGCACCAGAAGCGGUGAUCAAAGGCUAAGAAGUGACUUCAAAGUUGUUGAGUAAAGGGGAGGUAGGCCCAUUUAAUACAUGUCCGCAUAACAUACAAGGCCCAAAGCCCAAUAACUAACAAACUCAGACUGAGCAACAAAAGCUCAAGUCCGAACAUAUACAACUGAAUGAUAAACUCGGACUAGGAACUACAUACCAAAGUCCGGACUACAAAUAAAGACAAAAUCCGGAUUAGGGAACUACAUACCCUAAUCCGGAAUUACAUAAACUCGGAACAAAAGAUAAACGCGAACAUAACAUAAAGUUUGUUACAACUUUCAUUUAAGACUCUAAACAAUUGGAAAUCCAACACUUAUCACAAAAGUGCAUUUACAAUAUACACAUAUAUAUAUAUAUGUACAUAUACAGGGUCAGGAUUUAGAGAGAACGGUGAAAAGUGUGAGAACGGUGAGAAUGAUUUUGGUAGUGACAUGUUGCAUUGAUGCUAAAUUACACUAAGGGUAAUAUUUGUCAAAAAAAAAAACCCACUCACAUGAACUGGGUGUUCAAAUAAAACGCCAUAAAAACACUCAAUUCAGAAAAAUGCCAUGAAAAUACCCGGUUAAAAACGCCAUAAAACACCUAGUUCAGAAAAAACGCAAUGAAAAAACUCAGUUGAAAACGCCAUAAAACACUCAGUUCAGA
rnacentral:lncRNA from 1 species